AGGAACAUUGUCUCUACUGUGAAUGCUGAAUGUAAGUUAGACCUAAAGGUGGUUGGCUGCUUUCAAGCUCCUAAUUUAGAAUAUAAGUAACCCAAAGCCGGAAGCAACUAAACGGCACGGAAAUAUAUUGCCAAGUGCGUGAAGCUGCUGCAAACAAUCUUGACUGUUGAUGAUCUCAACUACCCGGAGAAGACCAUCACCUACUAUACAGUUAACGUUCCAUACGUAUUUUCUACUUGUUGGAAGGUCAGCUUCAUCAUCUCCAUUUGAAUUAAAAUAAAAUAUUAGUUAAGCAUAUUAUAAAGAUCUAUUCGCGCAUGUAGGUUGUGAAACCACUGUUGCAGGAGCGAACAAGCCGCAGUGUUUUUCUAACGAGGAGUUCACGAUAGUAUUUUCUAUAAAAGAUACACCAAAUUAAAGAUAAUAAAAAUCAAUCUUUUCCUUUUAUUUAGAGAUUCAAAAGAGUAGCAUGCAGCUUCCCGGUGAAGCUACCGCAGACUCUCUAUUCUAUAAGGAGGCAGGAGGUUUUGGCGGUGGCAAAUACAAGAUAAGACCGGGCUGGUAGUUGC